rnacentral:pre_miRNA from 1 species
AGGAGCUGUCACGAAGGUGCAUUGUAGUCGCAUUGUCUGUCCAAAAAUUGCAUGCGGCAAUACAACUGCAGUGCAAGCUCCGUGCAGUUCAC